AUGAGGUAAGUUCCCGUCGGAGAAUUUAUUUAUUUUUCGUGAUUGAUAUUUUUCGUAUUCCAGUACGUGGUAUUUUAUGUGAUGGUUUCUUUCAGAAAUUCCCUAAAUCCUGUUCGGUUGAGGGUAUUGGGAUGCUGAGGACUGUGAGUGAGGCUCAGAUUAGCGAACGGUCUUCAUGCUGGGAAUUUUCAAAUUUCGUAUUUUACGAUUUCAUAGAUUUCAUAUUUUACAUGUUGAUAUUUCAUAUAUUUUAAUUUCUCUUCAUUUCGUAUCAAAUAUUUGUCCUUUCUAAACUGCUGAUCUCUUCGCAUUUCCUCCUUGUCAUCAAACCUCUGUCUCUGCAAGAGUUUGAACGCUUACCUGUCGAAGAGAUGCAAGAGCUUCAUCUGGCACUGCGCGCUUGAGGCCGUGGAGGACGCUGCUUG